GAUGAACGCUAGCUACAGGCUUAACACAUGCAAGUCGAGGGACCGGCGCACGGGUGAGUAACACGUAUCCAACCUGCCCUUUACUCGGGGAUAGCCUUUCGAAAGAAAGAUUAAUACCCGAUAUAAAGUAUGGUGAUGCGUGCCAUUAGGUUGUUGGUGCGGUAACGGCCCACCAAGCCUUCGAUGGAUAGGGGUUCUGAGAGGAAGUUGCCCUACAUUGGAACUGAGACACGAUCCAAACGCCUAACGGAGGCAGCAGUGAGGAAUAUUGGUAAAUGGGAGUUAGCCUGAACCAACCAAGUAGCGUGAAGGAUGAAGGCUUAUGGGUCGUAAACUUCUUUUAUAUAAGAAUAUGUAUUAUAUGAAUAAGGAUCGGCUAACUCCGUGCCAGCCGCCGCGGUAAUAC
rnacentral:rRNA from 1 species